GAUGAAGAACGUAGCGAAAUGCGAUAAGUAGUGUGAAUUGCAGAAUUCAGUGAAUCAUCGAAUCUUUGAACGCACAUUGCGCCCCUUGGUAUUCCAUGGGGCAUGCCUGUUCGAGCGUCAUCUAUACUUUCAAGCACUGCUUGGUGAUGGGCGUCUGUCCCGCCUCCGCGCGCGGACUCGCCCCAGAUGCAUUGGCAGCGGUCCUGACCGCCUCUCGCGCAGCACAUUUGCGCUUCUCGAGGCGUCUCGGGGCCUGCGUCCACCAAGCCCGUCUCAGCACUUUUGACCUCGGAUCAGGUAGGGAUACCCGCUGAACUUAAGCAUAUCAAUAAGCGGAGGA
rnacentral:misc_RNA from 1 species